AAAUAAUAACUUGUUUAUUUUUUAUAUUUUAAAAAUUUUUAUAAGAAAAAUAAUUUUAAUAAAGACUUAAUAAAGUAAUGUUUAAUGAAAUAAAUUUUAUAAAAUUAUAAAGUAAAGUACUGUAAAGGAAAGUUAAAAAGAAUUAAUAUAAUAUAUAGUAAUUUUAAAAAAUUAUACCUUGUGUAUCAGGGAAAAUUUAUAUAAUUUAAUUAUUAUAAAUAUCUUGAAAUAAAAAUAGUUAAUUAUUGUAAAAAAGUUUUUGUAAAAAAUAAAUUUUUAAUAUAAAAUUAAAGAUGAAAUAUCAGUCGAGUUUUAUUAUAUCUAGUUUUUUAAAAAAUAAAUUAAAUUUAUUUUUUAUAUUUAUUAUAUAUAAAAAUAAAGUAUAGGAGGGAUUAGCUUUUUAUAGUAAAAAAGUAAAAAGUUAUUUUAAUUGUUAAUAUUUUAAUUAAUCUUAAAAGUAGAUAUAUUUAUAAAGUGUUUUAACUAAAUUUAUUUAUUAUGAUUAUUUAUAAUAACUUUUUUUAAAUAUUAAAAAAUUAAUUUUAGUAAAAUAAAUUUAAAUAUAAUAAUUUUAUUAGUAAAAUUUUAAUGUUAAUUUUAAUAAAUAAAAUAUUUUAUAUUAUUUAAUAAAAUUAUAAUAAUAUUAAGGAAUUUAGCAAAAAAUUUUUUUGCCUGUUUAUCAAAAACAUGUCUGUUUGUAGAUAUAAAAAGUCUAACCUGCCCACUGAUAGAUAAUUUAAUGGCCGCAGUAUUUCUGACUGUGCAAAGGUAGCAUAAUAAUUAGUUUCUUAAUUAGAAUCUUGUAUGAAUGGUUUGACAAGAAAAAAUCUGUCUUACAAUUAAUUAUUGAAUUUAACUUUUAAGUGAAAAGGCUUAAAUAAAUUAAAAAGACGAUUAGACCCUAUAAAGCUUAAUAUUAUUUUUAUUAUUUAAUAAAAUUUUUUUAAAUAUAAAUGUUUGGUAAUAAUUUAUAUUUUAUUGGGGUGAUAAUGAUAAAAUGAUUAUUAACUGUUAGUUAUUAAAACAAAAAUAAAUGAAUAUAAGAUUUUAAUAAAUGAUCCUGUAUUAAAGAUUAAAAGUUUAAGUUACUUUAGGGAUAACAGCGUUAUUUUUUUUAAAAGUUCUUAUCGAAAAAAAAGUUUGCGACCUCGAUGUUGAAUUAAAAUAUCUAUAUAAUUGUAGUAGUUAUAUAAAAAGGUCUGUUCGACCUUUAAAUUUUUACAUGAUUUGAGUUCAAACCGGUAUUAAGCCAGGUUGGUUUCUAUCUUUUAAUAUAUUAAAAAUUAUUUUAAGUACGAAAGGAUUAAAUAAUUGAAAUUGUUUAUAAAAAAUUAAAUAAGCUAUUUUGGUUUGGCAGACAA
rnacentral:rRNA from 1 species